rnacentral:tRNA from 1 species
GCCCUCGUGGCCUAAUGGAUAAGGCAUCGGUCUCCUAAUCCGGGAAUGCGGGUUCGAAUCCCGCCGAGGGUA